UCAACCAUGAGGACUAAUCUCCCAUCCCAGCACACUUCUUAACGACGUCGUUCCUCAACAAGCCAAAAACGACUCGUCGUACAAUCCAUCUCCCAGCAGCAUCUGGGAGAAAGAAAGAAAGAAAGAAAGAAAGAAAGCACUCUUUCUCGCUCGCGGCGAGUGUGAACACCAAACGGCGGCGUUCGCAGCAAACAGAGUCUCGAAACCCUAGUUCCCUAUUCCUCCCAUGUCCUCCGAAGACAUCACUCUCGUACCCGACCAGAGGAUCGAGAACGGUCUCAAUUCCCCUCUCGUCUUCCAAGACGACCCUCUCCGCUUCAAUUGCCCCACCCCGCACCAGCGUCGGGUCGGGGACCCGCCUCCGAAGACCCGCGAACUUGGCGCCUUCAUCGACGACAACAAGAUGUUCAUCGACCGCGACCGCUUCUUCGCCGCCGCCCAGAACCCCGAAUUCCGCCGCUACGCCGACUGCUCCGCCCGCCGCGACCCGCCCCACGCCCGCAAUUGGAGCGCCACAGACGAUGACGAAGAGUCUGACGACGACGACGAAGAUGACGACGACGAUGAAGCGGAUGACACCGAAGUAGGAGGACUCGUUGGUGAUGGAACCAAAAGCGAACUUAACAACAACAACAACAACAACAACAACAACGGUGGCGCUAAUUUACCUGCUGUUGCAAACGGGAAAGCCCACUCUUACGUUUCUGGAAGAGAGCUAUUGGUGAAGGAUGGUGGUGAUAUUGGGCAAUUGGUGCAUAGCAUUGUGAGUGGUGGUGAUGAAGAUCAUCGGCAAGAGGGGUUAGGUAAGUCUCAGAAUUCAGUUACCGUUGCUGAAACUGACUGUGAGGAGUACUAUUCGCACUAUCUUCACGGCGGCGAAGGGGCUUCUGGGCAGAAAGUGAUGGUGGAUGAUAGUGGUUGUGGGUUUAGUGGGAGGAAGGAUGCUAUGUAUUCGAGCGAGUCAGGGGAGUCACUCAGGGCAAUUCUUUCAGAUCCUGUCACGGGUGCUCUUAUGGAUGAUGCUAUGAUAUUACCAUGUGGACAUUCAUUUGGUGGAGGUGGAAUAGAGCAUGCUAUUAGAAUGAAAGCUUGCUGCACUUGUUCUCAACCCACAACUGAGGAAUCAAUAUCUCCAAACCUAUCACUCCGGAUUGCUGUGCAGGCAUAUCGUCGUGAAGAGGAGUCACAAUUUUACCGGUCACCUAAAAGAAGAAGAGAGAGAUUUGAUCAGGACAGGGUGGUUUUGGAGAUUCAGUUGUUAUGGAACCAUCAAGGAGUAGAGGUGUUCAGUUUCCAUUUGCUGUGAUGGACCGGGUUAUCAUAAAGGGAAAUAAAAGGACACCACAACGCUUUGUUGGGCGCGAAGCUAUUGUUACAACGCAAUGCCUGAAUGGAUGGUAUGUGGUGAAGACAUUGGACAAUGCAGAGAGUGUAAAGUUGCAGUAUCGAUCCCUUGCCAAGGUUAUGGAUGAUCCUUCAAAACCUGCAGCCUCCAGCAAGAUGCCACCUAAUUGGCUUUAGAUCUGCACUUCUGCAGCACAGUUCCGUGAUCAAAUACUUCUACACCAAGCUGAUGCCACUAGAUUUUUAGCGUUCAAUGCUUACAUACCUACAAAAAUUCUUCUUUGUAAUUCCAUUGUUGUAUUCCUUGCGAGAAAACUCUGCUAGCUGCUGAGUUUGUAAAUAUAGAAACCUUACCAUGCUUUGUGCUAGUCAAGAUUUUAGUAUCUGCGUAAUCAUUUUGUUAUAGAUACACUGACAGAAUAUAUAUUCUCUUUUUUAUUUUUUCUACAUGAACAGAUAAAUGUUUGAGUGGAAAUGGUUGUGACCAUUAUUAAACCAUAUUCGGCUUUAGACCUUGAUGAGCUAUAUGAACA